UUGGGUCCAGCCGCGGCGGGAGCAGCCACCCCCCAAACUCUCCCCGCCGCUCUCCGAUAUCCCCCAAGAUGGCCGCCGAGGUGGGAUCGAUGUUUCAAUAUUGGAAGCAAUCGGAGCUGCGCCGGCUGCAGAAGGAGCUUAAUUCUGUUGCUUCAGAACUGGCUGCUCGGCAGGAAGAGAGUGAACAUUCUCAUAAACAUUUAAUUGAACUCAGCCGGGAAUUUAAGAAAAAUGUACCUGAGGAAAUCAGAGAGAUGGUGGCUCCUGUCUUACAGAGCUUCCAAGCAGAGGUGAUUGCGCUUAGUAAAAGAAGCAAGGAGGCUGAGACGGCUUUCCUCAGUGUUUACAAGCAAUUAAUUGGAGCACCAGACCCCGUUCCUGUCCUGGAGGUGGCGCAGAGCUCAGAAGAGAGGCUGCAGCAGGUCCAGUGCCUCAACCCCGAGAGCCCACCCCUGAAGGAGCUCAACAGGCAGCGGAAGAAGCAUCCAGAGCUCCUUGGCACCAAAGAGCAAAGAGGGGGAACGUCUCCAGCUGGGCUCACAGUGUCAGAGGGAGCCAGGCUCACUAGCAUCAGCAGCAAAGCACUUUUCACAGACACCUUGCUGCAGAGAAAUGAAGCCGAAAAACAGAAGGGACUGCAGGAAGCCCAGAUCACUUUGGCGGCUAGGCUGGGGGAAGCAGAAGAAAAGAUCAAAGUGCUACAUGCAGCGCUGAAGGCGACCCAGACGGAGCUGCUCGACCUGCGGUGUAAAUAUGAUGCAGAGGCGGCUUCAAAGGCAGAUGAAGUAGCAAUGAUCAUGACAAACCUUGAAAAAGCCAAUCAGCGAGCGGAGGCAGCCCAGAGGGAGGUGGAGAGCCUGCGGGAGCAGCUCGCAUCUGUAAAUAGUUCCAUUCGCCUGGCCUGUUGCUCUCCACAAGGACCCAGCGGGGAUAAAGUGAACUAUUCGCUGUGCUCAGGGCCUAGGCUCGAGGCUGCGCUGGCGGCAAAGGACCGGGAGAUUCUCCGACUCCUCAAGGACAUUCAGCACCUCCAGAACUCCCUGCAAGAGCUGGAAGAGUCCUCGGCCAACCAGAUCGCGGACCUGGAGCGGCAGCUCACGGCCAAGAAUGAAGCAAUCGAAAAGCUGGAAGAGAAAUUGCAGGCCCAGUCUGACUACGAGGAGAUUAAAACUGAGCUGAGCAUCCUGAAGGCCAUGAAGCUGGCGUCUGCGAACUGCAGCCUUCCCCAGAGCAUAUCGAAAUCUGACGAAGCGCUGCUUCUAGACAAAGAAUCUUUCUAUUCAUCCCAGAAAUACAUUUUGGAAAAGCCAAAUCUCUUAGCCAACACUGAGGAGGAUCAUUCUGAGGACGAGUUGGUGAAGGAUUCCGUGGGCCCGGAGCAGUCCUACCCCUCUCCCCAGCAGCUCUCUCAGCCCCCCGGGGAAGACCCUGCCUCCCUCAGCCCCCUCCAGCCUCUGCUGGUCCCCACCGUGGCCCAGGAAGCCCAGAGGACUUUCUCGUUGUCCCCUUUCCCCAGCAUGGCUGCGGGCGAGCGGCUGCCGACGGACGCCUUGCUCCCCAAGCAAAUGGUUCCACCAGCGUACAAGAGCGAGAACGGCAGCAUGCUGGCCUUCCCCUCCCCCUUCUACACGGCCAAAGGCCCCCUGCUGCCCGCCAACCCCAGCCACACUGCCCCCACCAGCGACUCGAGCCCACCCAGCGACCAGUCGGAAGGCAGCAGCGCCAGCUCGGCCGACGAGGAGCAGCUGGACACGACCGAGAUCGCCUUCCAAGUCAAGGAGCAGCUGCUGAAACACAACAUCGGGCAGCGCGUCUUUGGCCAUUACGUCCUGGGGCUCUCGCAGGGCUCCGUCAGCGAGAUCCUGGCCAGGCCCAAGCCCUGGCGCAAGCUGACAGUGAAGGGGAAGGAGCCAUUCAUCAAGAUGAAGCAGUUCCUCUCCGAUGAGCAGAACGUGCUGGCGCUGAGGACCAUUCAGGUGCGCCAGCGAGGUAGCAUUACGCCGAGGAUUAGAACUCCAGAAACCGGCUCUGACGAUGCCAUCAAAAGUAUCCUGGAACAAGCAAAGAAAGAGAUUGAGUCUCAGAAGGGAGGUGAAACCAAGAGCUCGGCUGCUCCCCAGGUGGUCACCAACGGCAACAGCAACUCAGAAGAGGCCAUUAAAAACAUCCUGGAGCAGGCCCGGCGGGAGAUGCAGGCCCAGCAGCAGGCCCUGCUGGAGAUCGAGUCCGGCAGCAGGCCCAUGGCCACGCCGCCCACAGAGCGCUCCACCUUGGCUGCCGUCAGCCAGAACAUUGUCCAGGCCUACAUCAAGCAAGAGGAGGGGACGCUGGGCACGGGCACCAGCUCCAGCUCCACGCAGACCCCCCUGACAGUGCUGUCCCCCGCCGCCUUCGUGCAGAGCAUCAUCCGCAAGGUCAAGUCGGAGAUAGGCGACGCUGGCUCCUAUUUCGACCAGCACUGGGCGUCGGAGAGGAGCCUACUCAGCCGGCCCUACACCUCAGUGUCGCCCUCCCUCUCCUCCUCCUCCAGCUACUCCAGCCUGGCCAACGGGCGGGCCUGGCCGCGGGGGGAGCCCAGCGAGGAGGAGCUGGCUGCGGGCGAGGACGAGCCCCACAAGGCUGUGGAGAUGAAGUCUGAAGGGGCCAGUGCAGAGCCGCAGAGUGCCAGCCGCCUCUCCUAUUACCCGGCGUAUGUCCCACGCACCCUCAAGCCAACCGUCCCACCGCUGACCCCAGAGCAGUACGAAAUGUAUAUGUACAGGGAGGUGGACACCCUGGAGCUGACCAGGCAGGUGAAGGAGAAACUGGCCAAGAAUGGAAUCUGCCAGAGGAUCUUCGGGGAAAAGGUGCUGGGCUUGUCCCAAGGAAGUGUGAGUGACAUGCUGUCCAGGCCCAAACCAUGGAGCAAGCUGACCCAGAAAGGCCGGGAACCAUUUAUCAGGAUGCAGUUGUGGCUUACUGAUCAGCUUGGCCAAGGGAUCAGCCAACAACCAAACCCGCCACAGGCCAGCCCUGGGGAGACCCAGUCUUCCCCCUCCCCACCGCCCAGCCCUUUGGAGCAAGACAAAAGCCCCCCAGAGCCACUCACUCUAACUCUGGAGAGCAGCAAAGAAAAUCAGCAACCGGAGAGCAGGUCGGCCUCGUCACUGAGUGGGAAGACGUGUCCCAACAGCCAAGCACCUGUGGGCAUCCAGGAAAUUGUCGCCAUGUCGCCCGAACUAGACACUUACUCCAUCACCAAGAAGGUCAAAGAGGUGUUAACGGACAACAAUCUAGGCCAGCGGCUGUUCGGGGAGAGCAUCCUGGGCCUGACGCAGGGCUCAGUUUCCGACCUCCUCUCCAGACCCAAGCCGUGGCACAAGCUGAGCCUGAAGGGCAGGGAGCCCUUCGUCCGCAUGCAGCUCUGGCUCAACGACCCUCACAACGUUGACAAGCUCCGCGACAUGAAGAAACUGGAGAAGAAAGCUUAUCUGAAGCGUCGCUAUGGGCUGAUCAGUGCCAGCUCUGAUAGCGAGUCUCCCAACACCCACUCCGAGUGCACCAGCCCCAGCCUCCAGCCCCAAGACCUCAGCCUUCUCCAGGUCAAAAAGCCCCGGGUGGUCCUAGCUCCAGAAGAGAAGGAGGCCCUGAAGAAGGCCUACCAGCUGGAGCCAUACCCAUCCCAGCAGACCAUCGAACUGCUCUCCUUCCAGCUGAACCUCAAGACCAACACGGUCAUCAACUGGUUCCAUAACUACAGGUCCCGGAUGCGCCGGGAAAUGCUAGUGGAAGGGGCCCAAGACAACGACACAGACCUGGAGCCGAGCAGCUGUGGGAGUGUCGUGCCUGGCAGCAAUUCGGACAGAGUCCCCAACCCGCUGAGCCCUGAUUCGGAGGGGGAGGACAGGAAGCCCGUCUUCAGAGACACGAAGCACAGAGGGCCGAGCGAGACCCUGAUCAGGGUCAAGCAGGAGCAGAUGGAGGUGGGGGAGAAGGGCGACCGUUACAAUCACCGGGACUCUUGCAGCCUGGAGCGGGAGACGGAGCACAUGGUGGCGUCCAUCCAGCAUCCCCGGCUUCUCAAAGAAGAGCGGGUGGAUGCCGCCUGUGCAGAGGCCACUCAGGACACUCCCCAAAGCACUGCCAGCCUCACCAGGAGCAGCGCUUUGUACAGCACAGCGCACGCCGCUGGCACUCCCGACUGCUCUGCCCUUCAUCCACCCCAGGAAUCAGAAGGUGGAGAGCGGCUGCACCCUGACCCCAUUAGCUUUAAAUCCGCCUCGGAGUCCUCCCGCUGCAGCCUAGAGGUCUCUCUGAACUCGCCCUCAGCUGCCUCCUCUCCGGGCCUCAUGAUAUCCGUCUCGCCAGUCCCGUCCUCCUCUGCUCCCAUCUCUCCGUCACUGCCAAACACCACCUCCGCCAAGGUGCAGAGUUCAAGUCCUGCCGCAGAUACGGGCUCUUUACAGCAGAGUGUCAAGCUGAACACAACCAUCCAGCGGAGACACGAGAAAAUGGCCAACCUCAACAACAUCAUCCACAGGCUAGAAAAGGCAGCCAAUCGGGAGGAGACCCUGGAGUGGGAAUUCUGAACAGCUGGGCAGCAGCUGAAGAACAAGGAUCUGAUUGGUUGCUUUCGUUGGUGACAAUUUUAAACUUUCUGGAACACGUUGAUGGAACAGGGAGCCCUACUGGCGUGUGUAUAUAUAUAUAUAUUUUGUUAAUUUCAUCACAUGCUGAGGACAAAAGAAAAACCCAUUUGGUUAAUAAGAAAGGGAAGGAAAAAUAGCAUGUAGCUUCUGAAUCUUCACACCUGAUGAAAGGGAACAAAAAUAAAUAAAACCUGAGCUUUGUUUUAAAUGUGAAAAACUGGAUACACUUUUAGAAAAAAAAAAUAUUUAUAGACCUCUUUUAGAUAUUUUAAUAAAAGGAUACUUUGGAAUUUAUUAACAGCUUACGCUGUUUUGAUAUUAAAGAUAGCUAUAAAAUCAAGAUGAUGUAGCAGUUGUGUCAUUAAAUGUACACUGAAGUCUUGUAGUUUGCCACUGGAAGAGAUUAAAAAAAAAAAAGACAUUGAUCAAAGCCAUCGAGAAGCACUAUAAGACUGACCAAAUUUAAUAAACUUUUGACUAGCGGUUUUUCCACAUUUGUCUGUAAGACACUGCAUUGCUACUCUCCUUUCCAGAGACUGUGGUAUAGUCCGUGAAGACUCUAAAUUGAAACCCUUGAUGCCAUCGAGUCUGUAUUUAAUUCUGGUGGUAUGUUUUGAACCCUGUGUAACACAGAAUGUCACGUGCAGUUGUAUAUGUUGUAGAAAAUGUCUGCAAUAGCCUUCCUGAACAAGCUGUAGCAUGGUCCAUAACCAAUUCCUUCUACUUCCUCUCGUGCGUAACCCGUGACAAACCGAAAAGAACGAAACAAUUUCAGCGGUUGGCGGCAAAGCUUUCUGUCCGUUUGAAAAACAAACACAAAAAAUGAAAUAACCCAUAUCUCUGAUUUUGGGAGGGAGAAGGGAAAGGUUCACGGGUGCAAAAUGUCUUUUGACGUGUCUGGUUUGAUAGUAACGUACAUUAACAAUGAUCAUGACAUCGCAAGAUAUUUUUUUUAUGCAUGAGCAUCACCUCCUUUGGUGAGUGGGCGUCGGCCAGCAGGACACGUUAACUCUGAGCUUUCAAUGCCAGUGCUUGGGGAAAAGCACUCAAAAAAUAGAAACCACUGGCUCGCCUCCGGAGUCGGAAUCUGUUUGUUUUUACCUUAGGUAGUUCCAGCCUUUGAGGCAGAAGCACCUUUAUGUUGCUAGAUUUUGGGCUCUAGAAAGAGUGCCAAGGAAUGAGGAUUAUCCUCCAGGUUUGAAUCCGUCAGCAAAUGGCUUUAUUUACAUGUUAUGGCUUCUGCAUGUCAAAUAGGUCCUCAACUGUUCUCUACAGCAACGCUUGGUUGAAGUUACAGUCUAAGGCCAACCGCCUUCCCCCUGCACUGAGUGAAGGGUAUAAAUCCUGGACAGUAGAAAGGCAGUGCUGCAGCACCUAGGGGCACUUGCUUCCACCCCACCCCCACUUUGCAGUGGGCGCCGUUACAACAAAUUGCCCUCUGGUACCCACAGUGUCUUCCCGUGCUUAGGUAGGAGGUCCUUGGUAAUCGACCGGGGCCCUGAUUCAGCAAAGCCCUUUUAAGCACAUGCUUUGACUUCAGUAAAGCCUAAGCAUGCGUGUGAGGUUACACGUCAGUGUUUUGCUGAACUGCGGCCUUCGGGCCUGAUCCAGAGCUCGCUGAAGAGUGCAGGAGUCUUGCCAUUGAUUUCCAGGGGCUUUGGAUCAGGCUUUCAUUACAGAGAGGCACAUGCUGAGUUAUCAGCCAUCGGAUCAGACAUUUUAGCAGCAUCAGUUGCACAUGUAUCUCUGUGCUGUUGAAUUGCCCCUGCAAUGGAUUUUUCUCCCAUUCUCGCAGCUAAGGACUGUUGAAUAGACCAAGAUCUAUCUUAAUCCGUGCCAGUGAUCAAGCCCCGGCUAACGCAAUGCCUUUCAAAGAAGACUGGUUUAAAUGAAUUGUGUUGGUUUGUUCAGUGCUGGGCGAGGGCUUUUAACAGCCUUUGGCAAGGACCAGAAGGCAGCAUGCAAAGACCUACCCAUUCUCUCCCUUCACAGAUGCAGCCAGUUAAAAAUCUCCGCACCGAAUGGCAACUGAAGUGUCGUGAGUGCACAUCUGCCAGGCACAGAGGCGAUGCAUGGAAUACUUUUUUCCACUGUAUACAUUUUUAUCAGAAUAGAAGGUAUUUUUAUACUCGGGUGGUAGUUAAUGACCAAUUUUAAAAGCAAAUCCAUUUGACUCCAUGACGGCCAGGAUCCAUCUGCCAUAUUUUAGCAACCAUAGCCCUGUCUGAACAAGUGAGAGCUUGUCUAACGGAACAAUUUGUAUGGUUUCAAACCCCAACAUGCCAUAGAAGGGCGAGGCAUACACGUUGGCUACUAUUCUUAGUGUGCUAGUUGUUAGCUUUAGUGGAACGGGAUUUGAUUAAGCACUUAGUCUAGUUUUUGAACACAGGAAUCCUGUUGUACUAAAAGCUAGUGGGACAUGUUGAUCACUUUUUGUUAGGCUCAUGUACUGUACUUAAAAAGUUUCUAUGAGAUUGAUGAACUUUGUUAAAAAUUUUAAAAGGAACAAGUUCUGUAAAGAGCCACUAAAUACAGAAGUUGUAUAAUAACUUUGGUGUUUCGGUCUGUUUUGUUCUGAGUUGGUUCCUAAGCAAUCCCUUUCCUCCCUCAUCUCCCUGCUUUCUGAACCUGCAAGGAGUUAGUUCUUGAUGACACAACACACCAUGGAUAUAUGAUGUGUCAUGUCUAGGGCCCAGCUACAUCCUGUACAGUCCUCCCCCAGUGCUGCGCUAGGGAUGGGCUGAACCAAACCCCUCACUCCAAACAGCCCUGGACCCGGAGCAGCGUUCAGAAUCCAACUGUGGAGCUGGAUUUGAAUUCUGCAACCAGCCCCAAGCUAACCAUGGCACAAACUAACCCCCAACAGCCAACCCACCCCAAAUCCAGAGCCCAGGGGCCAUCUCUACCAAUGCCCUGUCUUUCCGCAAGCAGUUCACGCUGCACUUCCGCUGCAGGGAUGUUCCAGCUGCUAGCCGGCCGGCAGGGUUAGGCAAAGCCAAAUCCCAGCCAUGCUCAUGCUAUGAGCUCCGGAAGCCCAAAGAGAGCGAUGAAGCGAGGCGCAGAGGCUUUGGAUUAGCAGGCGUAGCCAUUCUCUUGUGUUGGGCUUUGGUCAUUCGUUCCCCAUUCUCCCCCUGCCCCCAGCAUACCCGAAAACGAACACUGGCCGCCCAAGAGACAGCAGCGGUGAGGUAGCAGGAGCCGCACAGCCCCGGAGGGAGAACAAGCAACAGCAUCUCUAGCACGGCAGUGUGAGAGACAAAGCAAGUCCUGCUGCAUGGAGCAUGGCUACAGCCUAGGUCAGCGUCUUUCCCGCCUCCCUGCAAGGAGCCAACCCCACCUGUGUCUGCACCUCAGCAUGGAGCUGCCUUUCUGCUCUGGCUCACAGCUCAUUUUCCUGUAUCGCUCGCCUCUGGGCCUCCUGCCGCGGAUGCUGCGGUUCACGCUGGCAUAGAUCCCACCUGCGCUGCCACCAUCUCGGGCACAGCAUCAAGGCCACUGCCGCUGGAUUUCCCCCUUCAUGGGCCACCAAGAGCACCUGGCUUCAGGCUGUCGGCUCCUACAAUCAUCCAUAACCUUAAUGUGACCAGGGCGUUCAAGGCGAUUGCCCUGUCAGUUACAGGUCGCCCCCAGAGGCCCAGUCACUGAUUGGCUGCUAGAUGCUUCACAACUACACAAUGGGAGAUGCUCCGUAACGGGGCGGGCUGCCCCCGGAAGGGCUGGGAAGCAGCCAGCCCCAUUCUGAAGAGGAGCCUAGCAGGCAGGUGCUGGGAAUCGCCUGUCCCAGCUGGAUAGCAUCAGAUGAUUGGAGCUAAGCUAGCUAGGAGAUAUAAACAAGGGC